CCUCCUCUUUUUGGCAGGGGUUGAGCAUGUGGUCCUGGUCCCUGUAAUGUACAGAGGGAGAGGGAAAGGGCUCUGGCCCUCUCGGCAUCACGUCUUCAGUUCCCAAUAGUUUCCAGUCCAAUGUUUCUGUCCUCAAGCACUGGGACACAA